UGAAGACAUAAGUUGGACACUGAACAAAAAUUACAUCAACCCUGCAGUUGGAUAAAACACACUCCAGGUUGAAGACAUUUUUCUAUCUCACCAUUUAUUUCGGAUUCCACCUUGAUAAACCCCGGAGACUUCCCACCCAGGCUGAUUUGCUGUGUUCUGUACAUAGGGCACCACUGCUCAGCACUAGAACUCACAGACGAAAGACGCUUGAAAGCUCAGCCCGUCCUGGGUCUCAUUUGGAAUGCAGAGAGUGUCGGCUGCAUCUCAGUCCUCAAUGCGAGAAACACCUAGCAGACAAGAAAAAUGACGGCAGGCACAAUCUCAUUUUCUGAGGGGCUGCAAGUCAGCUAGGAAAAGGCUAUUAUUCCAUCGACACCGUCG
rnacentral:lncRNA from 1 species